rnacentral:rRNA from 1 species
GACGAACGCUGGCGGCGUGCUUAACACAUGCAAGUGGAGCGACGAACCAGGCUUCGGCCUGGGGCAGAGCCGCGAACGGGUGAGUAACACGUGGGUAACGUGCCCCGAUGACCGGGACAACCCGAGGAAACUCGGGCUAAUACCGGAUAUGCCCCCUCACAUAUGUGAGGUGUGUAAAGGAAGCUUCGGCCUCCGCAUCGGGAUCGGCCCGGGUCCAUUAGCUUGUUGGUGAGGUAACGGCUCACCAAGGCUGCGAUGGAUAGCUGGUCUGAGGGGACGAUCAGCCACACUGGGACUGAGACACGGCCCAGACUCCUACGGGAGGCAGCAGUGGGGAAUCUUGCGCAAUGGGCGAAAGCCUGACGCAGCGACGCCGCGUGAGGGAUGACGGCCUUCGGGUUGUAAACCUCUUUCAGCUCCGACGAAGCGAAAGUGACGGUAGGAGCAGAAGAAGCACGG